AGAUGGGAGCUUGCUCCCUGAUGUCAGCGGCGGACGGGUGAGUAACACGUGGGUAACCUGCCUGUAAGACUGGGAUAACUCCGGGAAACCGGGGCUAAUACCGGAUGCUUGAUUGAACCGCAUGGUUCAAUUAUAAAAGGUGGCUUUUAGCUACCACUUACAGAUGGACCCGCGGCGCAUUAGCUAGUUGGUGAGGUAACGGCUCACCAAGGCGACGAUGCGUAGCCGACCUGAGAGGGUGAUCGGCCACACUGGGACUGAGACACGGCCCAGACUCCUACGGGAGGCAGCAGUAGGGAAUCUUCCGCAAUGGACGAAAGUCUGACGGAGCAACGCCGCGUGAGUGAUGAAGGUUUUCGGAUCGUAAAACUCUGUUGUUAGGGAAGAACAAGUACCGUUCGAAUAGGGCGGUACCUUGACGGUACCUAACCAGAAAGCCACGGCUAACUACGUGCCAGCAGCCGCGGUAAUACGUAGGUGGCAAGCGUUGUCCGGAAUUAUUGGGCGUAAAGCGCGCGCAGGCGGUUUCUUAAGUCUGAUGUGAAAGCCCCCGGGCUCAACCCGGGGAGGGUCAUUGGAAACUGGGGAACUUGAGUGCAGAAGAGGAGAGUGGAAUUUCCACGUGUAGCGGUGAAAUGCGUAGAGAUGUGGAGGAACACCAGUGGCGAAGGCGACUCUCUGGUCUGUAACUGACGCUGAGGCGCGAAAGCGUGGGGAGCGAACAGGAUUAGAUACCCUGGUAGUCCACGCCGUAAACGAUGAGUGCUAAGUGUUAGAGGGUUUCCGCCCUUUAGUGCUGCAGCAAACGCAUUAAGCACUCCGCCUGGGGAGUACGGUCGCAAGACUGAAACUCAAAGGAAUUGACGGGGGCCCGCACAAGCGGUGGAGCAUGUGGUUUAAUUCGAAGCAACGCGAAGAACCUUACCAGGUCUUGACAUCCUCUGACAACCCUAGAGAUAGGGCUUCCCCUUCGGGGGCAGAGUGACAGGUGGUGCAUGGUUGUCGUCAGCUCGUGUCGUGAGAUGUUGGGUUAAGUCCCG
rnacentral:rRNA from 1 species